UACGGAGGAUCCAAGCGUUAUCCGGAAUUACUGGGCGUAAAGAGUUGCGUAGGCGGCAGAGUAAGUAGUGCGUGAAAUGACGGGGCUCAACCCCGUGUCCAUGCGCUAAACUGCUCAGCUAGAGAAUGAGAGAGGUGGCUGGAAUUUCUAGUGUAGGAGUGAAAUCCGUAGAUAUUAGAAGGAACACCGAUGGCGUAGGCAGGCCACUGGCUCAUUUCUGACGCUCAGGCACGAAAGCGUGGGGAGCGACCGGG
rnacentral:rRNA from 1 species